rnacentral:tRNA from 1 species
GCCGGGGUGGCGGAAUGGUAGACGCAGUGGACUCAAAAUCCACCGUGGGCGACCACAUGGGGGUUCGAGUCCCCCCCCCGGCACCA